UUGUCAUCUUCAUCUUCGGUUUCACCAUUUUCAUCUUCAUAUAUGAAAGUUUGCAGAGUCCUGAUGCACCCAGCAAGACAAUAGUGAUGCUUAUCGAUGAUGUUGCAUCAUCCCCAGUUUCUGAAAUUCCAAUUGAAACUACCCAGGUCAACUGAAGUAGAGAAGAAUCCGUGUACCAAUCAGGUCAUCUCUUGAAAAAGGUUUGUGAACCAAAAAUUCACAUUUUCAAGUGACAACAAUAAAUAGAAUGGAGCUUUUAGUGUUGAGCACAUUGAACUGGAGAAUGGUAGCAGUGACACCUUUCUCAUUCAUAGACUACUUCCUCAUAAAGAUCAAUGUGCAUAAGCCUUCGAGAACUUUGAUCUCAACAUCAGUUCAACUUUUUUUAAGCAAAAUUAGAGGAACGAAAUUCCUAAACUUUAAGCCUUCGGAAAUCGCCGCAGCUAUAUCUUAUUUCAUUCAACAUGAAAAAUUGUGUAGGCGUCUUAAGAUGAUCCAAGAAAUGCCAACAGGAUAUGGGUUUUCACAUAAUGAAAGUUAAUCUCUGUCCUCGGUUGCUUAAAUCCUUAAUGUUCAAUGGGAUCGGUGAGCAUGGUACAUGGUUAAUCAUUUACAAUCUGUGGGAAGAUGAUCAAGGUGAACUGGAGCUUGAUUUUCAAUCCAAUCCACAUAUGGUCCUAUAAAAUAAAUUGGGUACCUAUACAACACGGUCGUGUAAAUUUCAAUGAGAACUUUACUCUUCAAGGUAGUAUAAAUUAUUAUGGGUAACUCAUUUUGAGGGUAAUAUGAAUUUAACUAGGUACCCAAAUCAGUCUGUAGCAUAAACAAAAU